rnacentral:rRNA from 1 species
CAUCCGAUAACUGUCAUGCUUGAGUGCAGGAGAGGAAGGUAGAAUUCCCGGUGUAGCGGUGAAAUGCGUAGAGAUCGGGAGGAAUACCGGUGGCGAAGGCGGCCUUCUGGACUGACACUGACACUGAGGUGCGAAAGCGUGGGUAGCAAACAGGAUUAGAUACCCUGGUAGUCCACGCCGUAAACGAUGUCGACUAGCCGGUGGGAGCCUCGAGUUCUGACUGGCGGAGUUAACGCGAUAAGUCGACCGCCUGGGGAGUACGGCCGCAAGGUUAAAACUCAAAUGAAUUGACGGGGGCCCGCACAAGCGGUGGAGCAUGUGGUUUAAUUCGAUGCAACGCGAAGAACCUUACCUGCCCUUGACAUCUUCGGAAGCCUACAGAGAUCUUGGUGUGCCUUCGGGAACCGAAAGACAGGUGCUGCAUGGCUGUCGUCAGCUCGUGUUGUGAAAUGUUGGGUUAAGUCCCGUAACGAGCGCAACCCCUGUCCCUAUUUGCCAGCGAUUCGGUCGGGAACUCUAGGGAGACUGCCGGUGACAAACCGGAGGAAGGUGGGGACGACGUCAAGUCAUCAUGGCCCUUACGGGUAGGGCUACACACGUGCUACAAUGGCGCGUACAAAGGGUUGCGAGAUCGCGACAUGAAGCUAAUCUCAUAAAGUGCUGCCUCAGUCCGGAUCGGAGUCUGCAACUCGACUCCGUGAAGUCGGAAUCGCUAGUAAUCGUGCAUCAGAAUGGCACGGUGAUACGU